rnacentral:rRNA from 1 species
CACGUAGGGCGCAAGCGUUGUCCGGAAUUAUUGGGCGUAAAGAGCUCGUAGGCGGUCUGUUGCGUCCGCUGUGAAAACUCGGGGCUUAACCCCGAGCCUGCAGUGGAUACGGGCAGACUAGAGGUAGGUAGGGGAGAAUGGAAUUCCCGGUGUAGCGGUGAAAUGCGCAGAUAUCGGGAAGAACACCAAAGGCGAAAGCGCUCUGCUGGGCCGAAACUGACACUGAGAGACGAAAGCUAGGGGAGCGAAUGGG